rnacentral:rRNA from 1 species
UACGAAGGGGGCUAGCGUUGCUCGGAAUUACUGGGCGUAAAGGGCGCGUAGGCGGAUGUCUAAGUUGGGGGUGAAAUCCCGGGGCUCAACCUCGGAACAGCCUUCAAUACUGGAUAUCUUGAGUUCGGGAGAGGUGAGUGGAAUGCCGAGUGUAGAGGUGAAAUUCGUAGAUAUUCGCAAGAACACCAGUGGCGAAGGCGGCUCACUGGCCCGAUACUGACGCUGAGGCACGAAAGCGUGGGGAGCAAACAGG